UACGUAGGGCGCAAGCGUUGUCCGGAAUUAUUGGGCGUAAAGAGCUCGUAGGCGGUCUGUUACGUCCGCUGUGAAAACCCAGGGCUUAACCCUGGGCUUGUAGUGGAUACGGGUAGACUAGAGGCAGGUAGGGGAGAAUGGAAUUCCCGGUGUAGCGGUGAAAUGCGCAGAUAUCGGGAGGAACACCGGUGGCGAAGGCGGUUCUCUGGGCCUGACCUGACGCUGAGGAGCGAAAGCGUGGGGAGCGAACAGG
rnacentral:rRNA from 1 species